UACCUCAUUUUGUGCGGCUGGAUCUGGAAUGGUGUGCUAUGACUUUUGGUGUUUAUGUCUAUUAUAGUUUUUUAAAUAUUAAUAUUUUAGUGAAAAUUUUCCCGCGCUCCUCUGCCAAACAGUUUUGACAUUAGGGUUACAUAUGUUACAUCAUUUUGUGCGGCUGGAGCUGGGCUAGUAUGGUAUGACUUUUGGUGUUCAUGAGUUUUAUAGUUUUUGAAAUAUUUAGAUUUUAGUGCAAAUUUGGGCCAAUUUCUAGGUUCCUGAGAAAGAUUCUACUUUUGGCCCCAUAGAAACAGACUUCAUUUGUGGUGUGUUGGCUCUCUCUAGUGGUAUAGCCGUAGUAGUACAGGUGAAAAGAUCUAUGCUUGGGCGAAAACUCCAUAUCCCACAAUUCAUAGCACGCCUCUGCAGAGUAAACAAUGGCGGCCACCACUUCGUUUUAUAUGUCUUUUAUUAGUGUUUCUAGGUCACAAAAUCAACUUUUAAGAUAUUUUCAGGCGAGAAUGUAGGUGUGUAAACUUCAAAUAUCUGCUCGUUUUAUCAAGACAUCCCAUAUUACAGACAGUGCUCUUACGUGUUGCUGAUAGCCGGCUAGCUAGCUAGUGCCGCUAGCACCGCUAGCGUAUGACGACACUACGCAAUGACGACACCCCUCCUCCGCUUUGAAAUUGACCGUAGACAUGAUUUUCUGAGACAGCGUGGCUAUCGCUUCACCGGUAACGCGUCUUUCCCCCCUCCUCUGCUUUGGACUUGAACUUACAGUGAUUUUCUGAAGUGUUUACUAAGACACACCGUAAGCUUUUACAAGGUAAGUGUAUCUCUCUGUCUCUGGUUUGAAAUUUAGCUUUGAAAGUGAUUUUUUUUUUUGUGUGUGUUUCUUUAUCGAUUUCUUUGUUUCGGCACGUUCGGCACGAUGCUAAAGCCAGUUAGCGGAUAGUCAGCUAAGGCAAGCGUUUCUGUCCCUCUUCCGGUUUUGAAAUUGACCUUUAAAAGUGCUUUUCUGUGUCUUGACGCUGAUAUCUACAAAAUGACUGUGAUUUUAUUCCAGUGGUAUCGUUUGUAAUUGAAACUUUUAAGAUGCGACUCUCAAAAAAUUGCUUCAUUGUAGUCGGGUUUCACACCUCUCUUUGUCUCGUGGUUUUGUUGCUGGCUAGUUAGCUGAUAUUAAGCAUCUCCCGGUUUGAAAUUGAUUUUGAAAGUGAUUUACUAUGACACACCGUAAGCGUAUCUCUGUCUCUGGUUUGAAAUUUAGCUUUGAAAGUGAUUUUUUGUGUGUGUGUUUCUUUAUCGAUUUCUUUGUUUUGGCACGUUCGGCACGAUGCUAAAGCCAGUUAGCGGAUAGUCAGCUAAGGCAAGCGUUUCUGUCCCUCUUCCGGUUUUGAAAUUGACCUUUAAAAGUGCUUUUCUGUGUCUUGACGCUGAUAUCUACAAAAUGACUGUGAUUUUAUUCCAGUGGUAUCGUUUGUAAUUGAAACUUUUAAGAUGCGACUCUCAAAAAAUGGCUUCAUUGUAGUCGGGUUUCACACCUCUCUUUGUCUCGUGGUUUUGUUGCUGGCUAGUUAGCUGAUAUUAAGCAUCUCCCGGUUUGAAAUUGAUUUUGAAAGUGAUUUACUAUGACACACCGUAAGCGUAUCUCUGUCUCUGGUUUGAAAUUUAGCUUUGAAAGUGAUUUUUUGUGUGUGUGUUUCUUUAUCGAUUUCUUUGUUUCGGCACGUUCGGCACGAUGCUAAAGCCAGUUAGCGGAUAGUCAGCGCUGAUAUCUACAAAAUGACUGUGAUUUUAUUCCAGUGGUAUCGUUUGUAAUUGAAACUUUUAAGAUGCGACUCUCACCGCGUACGAAACAAUAACUGCGUUGUAGUCGCGUUUCACACCUUUCUUUGUCUGUCUUUAUAAGGCGUUAACUACAGCACCCUUUAAUACCUCAACUCUUGAUUCAGCCAAGGUAAGUGCCCCCCCCCCCCCCUUAUAUUUUCUAUGUAUGUAUUCAGCUGAUAUUUAGAAAAAAAUAGGUGUGUUUAGCGCUGGAUGUCAUUUUAUUCCAGAGCUGUUGUUUGUAAUUAAAACUUUUAAGAUUAGAUGGUACAGUGUUUUUACUCCCUUCCAAACAGUAAAGUUCCUCUUUGUCUCUCAGUAGGAAAUUUAAACCAGACAGUACAAGGCUACAUUUCAGUGUUACAAGCCAAUCAGUUUGCUAAUUGUUCUGUGAGGUUUGUUUGCAAAGUUUAAGGUGUUAAGUAGGACUGUGAACAUCUGGGUCUGCUUGCUGCUGGCAUUCUGCCAGAGCCCCACCAACAAGACCGCCUCCCAGCAACGAGACUGCCUGUCAGCCUUGCAAGGUACCCAAUUUUCCAAUUACUCUAUAAAAAAACUGUUGUGGGCAACAAGACUGUCUCCUAAGUUUGCAAGCCAAUCACUUUGCCAAAUGUUCUUGUAAGAUUUGUUUGAAAAGUUUGAGGUGUUAAGUAGGACUGUGAACAUCUGGGUUUGCUUGCUGCUGGCAUUCGACCAGCGUCUCAGCAACAACACUGCCUCCCAGCUUUGCAAGGUAAUUACUUUCCCAAUUACUGUACACCAAAACGAAGUAACUGUCGUGGUCAACAAAUCUGCCUCCCAACUUUCAAGGUAAUCACUUUCUCAAUUACAAUAUACAAACUGUUAUGGAACUUAACAAAGCCUUAACACCGGGUAGUGACACUAUCAAUAUGUCUAUUUAAAGAAAAGAGAUUUUUUUUUUUUUGUUCUUGUAGUCAUCUUGUCUGUCAAUGUAUCAGAGGGUUAGAAUAACAAAUUGCUUGAAAUGCCAAUAAUUAAUAUUCUGUUUUUAUGUUGACAUUCUACCAGAUGCCGAGAAAAAAUAAAAGAUCCCAGGCACAAAAGAAGCGCUGGAAACCACUUGACCUGGUCGAUCCUGCUGUCCCAGUGCUCUCUGGCCACAACCAAGAUGAGGCAGUCAGUAGUUUUCCAUCUGACCAGAUGGCACCAGCCAGGUUAUCUUUGGAAACACAGGAUAGACUCACCUCCUUAUGUUCCCCAUGUACCAAGCAGACAGCACCAGCCAGCUUGUCCUUGGAAACGGAGAAUAGAUCCACCUCCUUAUGUCCUCCAGGCAGCAAGAGUUCAGAAACUCGUCCACCAGCAAAACGAGUCUGGGCAACCGAUGAUUUCCACACGGCAUCAAAUUCUCCACCUAAAAAGCCUUUCCACAACACAAAUGAAGAACUACUGACAGAGGAGCUACAGAGCAACGCAGUUCAGCACUUCUGGCGUGUCAGUGCAACUCAUUGUCAAAGUGAUGAAAGGUACACAGAAUUCUCUCGAAAUCAUCAGUGCACAUGCAAUGCCCUCACAUUCCUGGCCUACCUUAAUGAGGAACACCAGUUCAACACAGCCCGACUUGAUAAGGUGCUUGAACAGGGAGAUGCACUCUACUGUUGGAUUAAAACAAAUCUUCAGCAGGAGAGGCGUUAUACACAAAAUCAUCUGACCAUAGAGGAACUGCCCAAAAAAGUUCAUGCUGACAUAAAUGUCUACAGUGUGAAAAUGGACAACAUAAGGUAUGGAUACCUGAAAGCAGCAGACAAAACUUAUCAAAGAAAAGAGUGGUGGUUGCCUCUUGCUAGUCGUCUUGUAUGUCUGUCAACAGAUGUGAGCUAUGCUUUGCUCAUGGUCUCACCUCAGUGCAUUGCAGUUUUCCGUGACAAAUCUGGGAGGUAUGGAUUAUUUGAUUCACAUUCAAGAAGUGCAGCAGGUUUACCCCAGCCAAAUGGAACAGCAGUCAUGCUCACUUUCACUCAUGUGAAUGACCUGAUCACCCACCUUCAUAACCUUUUUCAAAAUCAAGGCAGGUAUGCAAGAUAUGAGUUUGUGCCUGUUUCUUUCAAAAGAGUCAGCACUCACAACGAACAGCCUGCACAGUCAACUCAAGCAACACCAAGAGCAACAGCUACAUCACCACAAAAUGAUGAACCACAAAUCACAAAUCCCACUGUGCAAGUGCCUCAACCAGAAUCAGCCCAAACCUACAUGACAAUGUUAGAAAGUGCUUUAAACCCGCAACAAGACAAAAUGGCUUCAAAUCAAAUUUGUGAACAUCAACUUGAAACAUCUGUUGAUCCAACAAGCAACAUCCAAACAGAACAACAAGAAAAUCUUGAACUCAAUAAUGAAAGAGAUAAAGUCAUAGAUAAACCCCCCCAAAAAACAAGAAAUGUGUGCAGAUUAAAUAAACGACGACGUGGGAAAGCUAUUCGUCAAGCUCAAAAAAGUCACAAGCAGCAUGUAAAAGCUAAAGAAAAAUCUUCAUCUGAAGACUUGACAAAGAAGAUAAACAAAAGAAGACACGAAAAGGAACGAUAUGCCUGCUUUCCUGAAUUUAGAAUGAAAAAAUUACAGGCUGUGAAAACUCAAUAUGCUCAAAACUGUCAUCGCCAUAAACAAAAACUGUUAUCAGCCAAAGAUUAUUAUGCAAAUCCUCAUAUUCAAGAGAAGAUAAAAGCCCACAAUGUGAAGAGAUACCAAAAUGAUCCUCAUUUUCAACAAAAAAAGAGAGACUACAUUAUCAGAAGAUAUACCACAGAUGCCAGCUUUCGAACCAGACAGAAACAAUAUGUGUUCCGAAGAUACAACACGGAUGCUGACUUUCAAAGCAGACAGAAGCAAUAUCUGGUCCAAAGGUACAACACGGAUGCUGACUUUCAAAGCAGACAGAAGCAAUAUCUGGUCCAAAGGUACAACACGGAUGCUGACUUUCAAAGCAGACAAAAAAAAUACAUGAGCCAGAAAUACAGAGAGGAUGAUGUCAGAGAAAGGAAGAGGGCAUAUAUAAGAACAAAAUAUGCAUCGGAUCCAAAAUACAGGCACAAACAAAAAAAAUCAAUUCAUGCCAGGUAUCAUAAUGACUCACAAUUCAGACUGCACCAUAUACAGCGCUGUGCAGAGUACCAGAGACACAAAAUGGCUACCACUGCAUCUUUCGCCAUUUAUAAAAAGUUGUGUGCGCAGAGAAUAAAGAAGAAAUACAGACGACUAGUAACACAAUUCCAGCAGGGUCCACAGUCUGAAGCACAGCCCCAGCUUGUAGUGAAUAGUGUGAUGCAAGCAGCCACAUUAGCUUUCCGUGAAACAAUUAAGUUAGGACCCACCCAUGUCUGUACAGUGUGCCACAGAACUCUGUUUCCUAAUCAAGUAAAACACUGCAAAAGAUCAAAGUAUGUUAAAAAUAGUCACAUUGUUGACACCUGCUUGACAGGAAAAUUUGUCCAUGUUUGUGAUAGUGAAUGUACAGCUAAUUGUACCUUUCCAAAACAAAGAAUGCAAGAGUGGAUUUGCUACAACUGUGACAGCCACCUACAACGAGGAAAGAUCUCUUCCAUCGCAGUGGCAAACAAUUUAGCACUAGCACCCAUCCCAAUUGAACUGAGUCAAUUAAAUGUACUAGAACGACAACUGAUUGCUAAAAUUCUCCCGUUUGCCAAAAUCAUUGCAUUACCAAAAGGACAACAAAGAGCCGUACAUGGGGCUGUUGUUUGUGUACCGUCAGACGUGGAAACCACAGUAAACUGUCUUCCCAGACCUAGCAAUGAAGCCCAGCUCCUGCAAGUACAACUGAAAAGACACAUCAGAUUCAAAGGAUACCAACACUUCUACACUGUGAACAUGAAGAAUGUGUUAGCAGGCUUAUCAAAGCUAAAAGAGAUGCAUUCAGAAUACAAAGAUGUAUCUAUUGAUGAUGACGCAACUUUUGCUGAUCCCACAAAUAAUCAGAUAAUCGAGACGGAACAUGACACUGCUGAUACAGAUAUUCAAGAUGCACUGCCCAGAAACUUUGACAACCAAAUUGUACCAGAAAGAAGAACCACUGAGGAAACAACAGCUGGAAUACUUGAGCCAUGUCAUGAUGUAAACGAACUAUUGGAGCCUGAACAGUCAAAUGGAGAGCCCUUACAAGAUACGGAGAAAGAAAAGGAAGAACUUCGCCCUGGUCUUGUUCUAGACACCUGUAUGCAACCACCAGAUAUAGCACAGGACAUUUUAUCAUAUGGUGAAGGAAUAUUUAGCAUUGCACCCGCCCAAGGAAAUAGACCUGUUGGUUUCUUCUCUAUUCCUAAACUUGAAGCCAUGGCCUUUCCUGUGCAGUUCCCAACUGGACAGAACACAUUAGAUGAAGCCAGACAAGUCAAACUGUCCCCAAGCAUGUAUUUUAAUACACGGCUGUUCUCUGCAGAUACACGCUUUGCAACUGACCAAAGCUACCUAUUCUUUGCACAGUUUGUAACAGAAACACACAUGGCUACAAACAGCAUGUCCAUCCAAUUGCGCAAAGGUAAGGCAAUCACAAAGGAUGGACGUAGAAUUAGUAACAGAAUGCUUCAAAAUAAAGACGAAGUGGAGAGACUGAUAAAUAACAAAGAUGCAACACGCUUCAUGAAACCUCUGAGAGGUACUCCAGCCUAUUGGGAAAAGGCACUGAAAGAUCUGCAUGCUAUGGUCAGACAGUUAGGAAAGCCAACUUUUUUCCUGACAUUUUCAGCUGCUGAAAUGAGAUGGCCUGAGGUUGUUGAGGUCAUAAAAACUCAACAAGGUGAACAAGUGGAUUUUUCACAACUUGACUGGAACACAAAGUGUGAAAUUCUCCGAAGCAACCCUGUGACUGUGAUGCGAUUGUUUGAAAAAAGAGUCGAUGCACUAAUGACAACACUGAUCCUGUCCCCAGCACAGCCCAUCGGUGAAGUAGAAGAUUACUUUUAUCGAGUGGAGUUUCAGGCCAGAGGUAGCCCUCAUAUCCAUUUACUGGUUUGGGUCAAAGAUGCACCUAAAUUUGGAAGCGACCUUGAAGACCACGUGUACAAAUUUAUUGACAAGUACAUAACAUGUAAGAUGCCUGACCAAAAUGCCGAUCCUGAACUUCACAAAAUUGUGUCUGAGGUUCAAGUCCACAGCAGAAAUCACUCCAGAUCCUGCAAAAAAGGUAAUGUGUCAUGUAGGUUUGGGUUCCCCAAACUACCUGUAGACCAAACAAUGAUCACUUUCCCAAGCCCAGAUGAUGACGAUGAUCACAAUGAUAAGCAGCAUAGCACAAGUAAGGAGAAAGGCACAAAUGAAAAACAAAAGCAAAAAAACAGACGAAUGGCGCUCGCAAAAAAACAGAAAGAGGCCAAAGAAAAACUCCAGCCAUUGAGAGAUUUGCUCUGUGACCCAAAUUCCUCGUUUGAAGACUUGUCUGAGCUGCUUCACAAAUGCAAAUUAACUUAUGAACAAUACUUGGAUUGUGUCUUCAAUUUAAGCAAUGGCCAUGUCAUCCUCUUAAAGCGUGAACCUAAUGACUGCUGGGUGAAUGCAUACAAUGCAGAUCUACUGAGAGCCUGGAAUGCCAACAUGGACAUCCAAUAUGUCAUUGAUGACUACAGCUGCCUGAUGUACAUGAUGUCUUAUGUCUCUAAACCCGAAUUUGAGAUGACACAAUUUCUUAAUGGAGUCAUCCAGGAGGUAAAAAAGUCCAAUGUCAAUGAAAGAGAUGAAAUGAAACAGAUAAUGCAGGCAUAUGCUAAACACAGAGAAGUCAGUGCCCAGGAAUCCGUGGCAAGGACAUGCAGCCUGCCACUAAAAAAGUGUUCACGCAGUGUGGUGUUCAUACAGACUGAUGAUGAUGCCCUGAAAAUGAGUCUCCCGAUGAGCAGGUUGCAAAGCAUGGCACCAGAUGAUGAAAAUGUGUGGAUGUCUGGAUUGCCAGAAAAAUAUGCAAACAGACCCAGAACACCUGAGUUUGAAAGAAUGUGUUUGGCUGAAUUUGCUUCAGAGUACAGGAUUCUCUACAGCCGUGAAACAGAGUCAAAAAAUGCCAUCCCUCUUUUGAAUAACAUGGGUUAUAUUCAAAAGAGAACAAGAGGGAAACCUGCAAUAAUCAGAUAUCCUCGCUUCUCAGAAAAGAAACAUCCAGAAAAGUUUUAUAGCAGACUACUAAAACUUUAUUUUCCACAUCGAUCAAAUGAUGACUUUAAAAACACAGAACACUCCACAUCCGAACAGUUCUACAAAAGUGGACGAAAACAUGGUUUUGCAGUACGGCCAAUUGUUACCUUUAACAAAAAGCGUUAUGAAAGCCAUGGCAAAACAAUGGAAAGGGCAUUGGAACAGAUUGAACAACAAGGCCCACUUAUCAAUGCAUGGAACACCUUUGCACCUGAGGUUGAAGUAGAUCGUUUAGAGUGUGUGGCCCAACGACAAUCCAGACACGAGACUGACGAAAAUGAAAUGGACAUUGUUCCAGACUACCAAGUCAGUGGUAGCAACAGUGGAACCAUGCCAGCAAUCAUAGCACCUAAGCUGAGCCCAGACUUUGUCAGAAAAAUGUACCAAAGUCUAAAUGAAACCCAAGCAUCCAUAUUCUACGCAGUGCGUGAGUGGUGUUUCAAACUUGUGUGGGGUCACUGUCCUGAGCAGUUCUUUUAUUUUGUCUCUGGAGGAGCUGGCUGUGGAAAAUCACAUGUUAUCAAGUGCAUAUAUGAGGAGGCAACAAAGAUUUUGCACCAACUCCCCAGAUUCCGUGACCAAGCAGACAUGUCCUACCCUGCAGUACUGCUGACUGCAUUUACUGGCACUGCAGCUUUUAACAUAUCUGGGAAAACACUGCACUCUCUGCUAAAGCUGCCAAAAUCUUUAAAACCGCCGUAUCAGGGAUUGGGCAAUGCACUGGAUGAAGUGAGAGCUUCACUUUCAAAUGCAGAGAUUCUGGUCAUUGAUGAGAUAUCUAUGGUUUCUAAAGACCUUUUUGCCUACAUCCACUGGAGACUUCAGCAGAUCAAAGGAAACAAGAAGCCUUUUGGUGGGAUGUCUAUCCUUGCAGUAGGAGACUUUUACCAGCUGCCACCCCUUGGAAAAGCCAAACCACUCUGUGUGUACGAGGACAAUGUCUUUGAUCUCUGGAAAGACUAUUUCCACAUGGUCAACCUGACAGAAAUCAUGCGACAGAAAGAUGAUCAUUCUUUUGCUGAAGUUCUGAACAGGAUAAGAGUGAAGCAAAAAACAAAUUCUCUUGAAGCCAAUGAUAAAGCCUUGCUCACACAGGCUAUCCAUGACAUAAAAGACUGUCCAUCUAAUGUAUUACACAUUUAUGCUACAAACAAAGAGGUCGACAAACACAAUUCAGCAACUGUAACUGCUCUUCAUUCUGAUAUCAUAAAUAUUCAGGCCGAAGACUACAGAAAAGACCCACGGACGGGUGAGAUGGUCCUCCUGGCAGAUAUGAUGAAAGGCAACAAAAGAGAUUUACCUGAUAACAUACAAGCUGCACCUGGAGUGCGUGUUAUGAUUAUUAGAAAUUUGGAUGUUGAAGAUGGGCUUGUUAAUGGGACAUUUGGAACAAUCACGAACAUUGUGACAACCACACAGGAUGGACCAAAAACUGUGAAUCUCAUUGGACUUACGCUGGACAAUCAAAAUUCUGGGCAAAAAUUUCGCAGAAAAAUACAAGGAUCCUCAGACAACCUCGUAUAUAUUGAGAAAUGUGAAGAAUCUACAAGUAAAAAAGGAGUUCUUCGCAGGCAAUUUCCAAUGAAGUUGGCCUUUGCAUGUACAGCUCACAAAGUACAAGGCAUGACAAUGGAGUCAGCAGUAGUAUGUUUGAAGCGUGUUUUUGAGCCUGGAAUGGCCUAUGUCGCACUCAGCCGCACAACCUCACUUAAAGGACUGUACAUCACAGACUUUGAUGAAAGGAAAAUCUAUGCUGAUCCUGCCAUCACAGAUGCACUCAAAAAUAUGAGACAUGCAUCAUUUGAGAAUGCAAGACCACUGUUGCAAUUCUUAAAAUCAGUUGUUCCCACAGUCCCCACAUUGACAAUUAUCCAUCACAAUGCACAAGGUCUCCCAACUCACAUGGAGGACAUGAGAUGCCACCAUGAAGUCAGCCUUGCUGAUGUUUUAUGCAUAACAGAAACUCACUUGUCUGGAUCAUCAGUUUCUCCCCGCUUCCAGCUGGAACAGUACAACAUGGCCACACGCAACAGACACGUCUCUUACACAAACCAUACAGACAUGGCAAAGGUAAAUGGCGGUGGAGUUGCAAUGUACUACAAAACAGUUCUUAUAGCAGAGUCUCGAAAAUACCUGCAAAAUGUGACUGACCUUGAAUUUGUUGUUAUCAAGGUUGAAUCGCCAGUCACAGCUUUGAUAGCAACUGUAUACAGGCCACCAAAUUACAGCCACGUGAGGUUUUUACCACAAAUGCAAUGUCUUUUGGACUCAUUGGAAAUGAUGAAUUGCCAACCAAUUAUUGUUUGUGGAGAUUUCAAUGAGGACCUUAUGAGCAGAGGAAAAAAACCCAUCCAAGAACUGUUUCAGUCAAGAGGAUAUGCACAACUUAUUACUGCUGCAACUACCGAAAAACACACAUUGAUUGAUCACCUUUACAUAUCACAGCCAUACGCCUGCCUCCAAUCAGGUGUUCUAAAUACAUAUCACAGUUAUCACAACCCCAUUUAUUGUGUAAUUCACUAACACAAAAUGACUGCAAGGUUGUGAGGGAUAUGGACUUGCCAAGUGAUCUUAGUGUCUUUGCAACUGAGCACACUCUACCACCAAAAAGGACAGCUCACCAGUGGGAGCUGAUACAUAAGACUGCUCUCAUCCAUUGAAGAGCUGACCAGAAACGUGAACAGAGAGACUGCAACUGCACCUGAUGGGAUCCCUGCCAUAACAGAUGUGUUCUGUCCAGUAAAGGCAGUGGAGAAGCCCUACACUGAUCUUGAAACUGUGCCACGCUAGUAGAGACCGGCUACAAGGAUGGGCAGCUGUUUUCGCAAAGUCAGCCAACCACUUGCUUCCAAAUGACCCUUAUCCAGAAGUAUCCGUGAGUGCCUCAUAAACAGAAACUAACGUGGAGACCUACCUCUCAGAGAAAAACGCACACAUAAGAAAAGCCGACCCACUUCAGUACUGGGAAGAACAUCCUAAUCUGUUUCCCUCUAUGGCUGCUGUUGCGAUCCCAGUGUGCCCCCUGUAGCUCUGUGGACAGUUUUGGAUUUGUUUACAUCUCACCCAACCGGUCCCAGCAGAUGGCUGCACCUCUCUAAGCCUGGUUCUGCUGGAGGUUUCUUCCUGUUAAAAGGGAGUUUUUCUGAACACACUCUACCACCAACAAGGACAGCUCACCAGUGGGAACUGAUAGAUAAGACUGCUGAUGUGCUCUCAUCCAUUGAAGAGCUGACCAGAAACGUGAACAGAAAGACUGCACCUGAUGGGAUCCCUGCCAUAACAGAUGUGUUCUGUCCAGUAAAGGCAGUGGAGAAGCCCUACACUGAUCUUGAAACUGUGCCAUGCUAGUAGAGACCGGCUACAAGGAUGGGCAGCUGUUUUCGCAAAGUCAGCCAACCACUUGCUUCCAAAUGACCCUUAUCCAGAAGUAUACGUGAGUGCCUCAUCAACAGAAAAUAAAGUGGAGACCUACCUCUCAGAGAAAAACGCACACAUAAGAAAAGCCGACCCACUUCAGUACUGGGAAGAACAUCCUAAUCUGUUUCCCUGUAUGGCUGCUGUUGCGAUCCCAGUGUGCCCCCUGUAGCUCUGUGGACAGUUUUGGAUUUGUUUACAUCUCACCCCAACCGGUCGCGGCAGAUGGCCGCCCCUCCCUGAGCCUGGUUCUGCCGGAGGUUUCUUCCUGUCAAAAGGGAGUUUUUCCUUCCCACUGUCGCCAAAGUGCUUGCUCAUAGGGGGUCAUAUGAUUGUUGGGUUUAUCUAUAUACAUUAAUGCUUGUAUGCUUUUCAUUUAUACUUUUGCCUUACUUUUCAGUUCAUAAUAUAAAGUUACUUGAAUGGUUUCCUUUUCCUUUUUUAUUUUAUAUUGCUUUGCUAUUUACCACAAUCUAAAUAUCAUGUUUAAAUGUCAUACAUUAUUGUAAAUGGUAUCUGUACAAAAUAUUGUUUGAAUAACAUGAUACAUUUAUUAGUCCCACAAUGGGAAAUUUCAUAAUUUGCAUGUGGUAUUUUCCCCUUUGACAUUAAAAUACCUUUGAAAU